rnacentral:rRNA from 4 species
AGCAACAAAUGCCCUGCUUCCAGGAAAAGCCUCUAAGCAUCAGGUAACAUCAAAUCGUACCCCAAACCGACACAGGUGGUCAGGUAGAGAAUACCAAGGCGCUUGAGAGAACUCGGGUGAAGGAACUAGGCAAAAUGGUGCCGUAACUUCGGGAGAAGGCACGCUGACACGUAGGUGAAGUGAUUUACUCAUGGAGCUGAAGUCAGUCGAAGAUACCAGCUGGCUGCAACUGUUUAUUAAAAACACAGCACUGUGCAAACACGAAAGUGGACGUAUACGGUGUGACGCCUGCCCGGUGCCGGAAGGUUAAUUGAUGGGGUCAGCGCAAGCGAAGCUCCUGAUCGAAGCCCCGGUAAACGGCGGCCGUAACUAUAACGGUCCUAAGGUAGCGAAAUUCCUUGUCGGGUAAGUUCCGACCUGCACGAAUGGCGUAAUGAUGGCCAGGCUGUCUCCACCCGAGACUCAGUGAAAUUGAACUCGCUGUGAAGAUGCAGUGUACCCGCGGCAAGACGGAAAGACCCCGUGAACCUUUACUAUAGCUUGACACUGAACAUUGAGCCUUGAUGUGUAGGAUAGGUGGGAGGCUUUGAAGUGUGGACGCCAGUCUGCAUGGAGCCGACCUUGAAAUACCACCCUUUAAUGUUUGAUGUUCUAACGUGGACCCGUGAUCCGGGUUGCGGACAGUGUCUGGUGGGUAGUUUGACUGGGGCGGUCUCCUCCUAAAGAGUAACGGAGGAGCACGAAGGUUGGCUAAUCCUGGUCGGACAUCAGGAGGUUAGUGCAAUGGCAUAAGCCAGCUUGACUGCGAGCGUGACGGCGCGAGCAGGUGCGAAAGCAGGUCAUAGUGAUCCGGUGGUUCUGAAUGGAAGGGCCAUCGCUCAACGGAUAAAAGGUACUCCGGGGAUAACAGGCUGAUACCGCCCAAGAGUUCAUAUCGACGGCGGUGUUUGGCACCUCGAUGUCGGCUCAUCACAUCCUGGGGCUGAAGUAGGUCCCAAGGGUAUGGCUGUUCGCCAUUUAAAGUGGUACGCGAGCUGGGUUUAGAACGUCGUGAGACAGUUCGGUCCCUAUCUGCCGUGGGCGCUGGAGAACUGAGGGGGGCUGCUCCUAGUACGAGAGGACCGGAGUGGACGCAUCACUGGUGUUCGGGUUGUCAUGCCAAUGGCACUGCCCGGUAGCUAAAUGCGGAAGAGAUAAGUGCUGAAAGCAUCUAAGCACGAAACUUGCCCCGAGAUGAGUUCUCCCUGAGACUUAAAGUCUCCUGAAGGAACGUUGAAGACGACGACGUUGAUAGGCCGGGUGUGUAAGCGCAGCGAUGCGUUGAGCUAACCGGUACUAAUGAACCGUGAGGCUUAACCUUACAACGCCGAAG